rnacentral:rRNA from 1 species
GACGAACCGUGCGAACGUUGUUCGGAAUCACUGGGCUUAAAGGGCGCGUAGGCGGCCAACUAAGUCAGACGUGAAAUCCCCAGGCUCAACCUGGGAACUGCGUCUGAUACUGGAUGGCUUGAAUCCGGGAGAGGGAUGCAGAAUUCCAGGUGUAGCGGUGAAAUUCGUAGAUAUUGGGAAGAACACCGGUGGCGAAGGCGGCUCUCUGGACCGAUACUGACGCUGAGGCGCGAAAGCGUGGGGAGCAAACAGG